rnacentral:rRNA from 1 species
UACAGAGGGUGCAAGCGUUAAUCGGAAUUACUGGGCGUAAAGCGUGCGUAGACGGUUGCGUAAGUCAGAUGUGAAAGUCCCGGGCUCAACCUGGGAAUUGCAUUUGAGACUGCGUAGCUAGGGUGCGGAAGAGGGAAGCGGAAUUUCCGGUGUAGCGGUGAAAUGCGUAGAUAUCGGAAGGAACACCAGUGGCGAAAGCGGCUUCCUGGUCCAGCACCGACGUUCAGGCACGAAAGCGUGGGGAGCAAACAGG